rnacentral:rRNA from 1 species
GUUGCGGUUAAAAGCUCGUAGUUGGAUUUCUGUUGAAGACCGGCGGCCCACCUUUUGGGUGAGUAUCUGCUUGGGCUUCGGCAUCUUCUCGGAAUACGUUGCUGCGCUUGAUUGCGUGGUUCGGAGUCCGGGACUUUUACUUUGAGGAAAUUAGAGUGUUCACGGCAGGCAUACGCCUUGAAUAUAUUAGCAUGGAAUAAUAAUAUAGGAUCUUGGUUCUAUUUUGUUGGUUUCUAGAGCUAAGAUAAUGAUUAAUAGGGACAAUUGGGGGCAUUCGUAUUAACGCGUCAGAGGUGAAAUUCUUGGAUUGCGUUACGACGAACUACUGCGAAAGCAUUUGCCAAGGAUGUUUUCAUUGAUCAAGAACGAAAGUAAGGGGACCGAAAAUGAUUAGAUACCGUCGUAUUUUUUACCAUAAACUAUGCCAACUAGAGAUGGGGCGUCGUACUACUAUUACUCGCUCCGCACCUUAUGAGAAAUCAAAGUCUUUGGGUUCCGGGGGGAGUAUGGUCGCAAGGCUGAAACUUAAAGGAAUUGACGGAAGGGCACCACCAGGAGUGGAGCCUGCGGCUUAAUUUGACUCAACACGGGAAAACUCACCAGGUCCAGACAUAGUAAGGAUUGACAGAUUGAUAGCUCUUUCUUGAUU